rnacentral:lncRNA from 13 species
UUUCAAACUUGAUAAAUGGAAUGAUGAUCAAGCUGAGGAAAUAAGCCAAAUGCCUAAACUGGAUAAAUAAGUGGAAUUCUCAGGGAAAAGACAAAAGAACAGGAAAACAAAGAAAAAAAAUCUUGCUGUACAGGAGGCAUGCUCUGCUCAGCUUCUGAGGAGGCAACAGAAAAUUGACAAUCAUGGAAGAGUGUGAAGGAAGUAGGCACAUCUGCAAGACCAGAGCAGGAGCAAGAGAGAAAAAGGCUCAUUUCCUAGAGGUUUUUGGUUGCUUAACCAAGGACAAAACCAGCAAGGCAUGACUGUGGCUUUUAUUGGAAAUGAAAUGAAGUGCAGAAGACACUGGCAGGACCUCUUACAAACACCUACCAUU